CUGGUUUCUGGUAAACUCUGCUCUGUGUUGAGUCAGAGACGGUGUGUGAACUGUUUGGACUCAGUGACAGCGACCUGCUGACAACACGUUCCUCUGGGGGGCAUCCUAACAGCCGCGCCAGCACACUGUGGUCUUCAGCUCUUCUGAGACUGAAGCAUGAUGAAAGCGUUGCAUCCACCUCCACAUCGUUGCGUAAGUCAAACCUUCUUCUCCUUGUCUCAAUAUUUGGAGAGACAUUGAUCUGACUGAAGAUGGUCGUGGCGGAACAUGAAGCCCCGGCAGCCUGUGGUGAAGCUGUGCUUCUCUCAGGGUACAUUUGUUGAUGUGACGUCUGAUUGUAGUGUCUGUCCUGGGUGUAGUUUGUACCUCCAUCACACACUGACUGUGGCUGUCGGUGAACACCGUCAGCAGACUGACUCCCAUCACAGCCAGAUGAAAAAAACCUUGGACUGCCUGUUGCUCCGUUUGGCACAAACUCCUGUGGAUUUCUACUGUUUAUUUUCAACUUGGGGAUAGCUGAAAACUGCAAAUCCCUCUCCAGGGUCCUUGAUUUAUCUUUUGAACUAUUUUCCCUUUUGCUUAAACCAUCUUUUUCUUGCAACAUGUAGAAACCCUGAAACACAGCUCCCUGUUUCUGGGACUCUAAGUUACUCUGGUUUUGAAGGACUCUGUCCGUCAUUGGACUGGAUCUUCUCAACUCAGGGCUCAACGUAGGUGUUUGAGAUGGUGAUGGACUUGGCACGUCUUUCUUGGGCAACAGGAGACGGUUGUCUGCUUCCCUGGUCGUCCACACCGGUCACUGGGCCCAAGGAUGUCGGAGAAGAACUCAGUCUGGGCGCUGGAACAGUUAGAGUCGGAGACACACGCGGCAUGGGCUGAAGCUGAUGCUGCAGUGGAGAAAAAUGACUCAAAUGUGGAGUAGAGAGAUAAAGAGAAUCACUCGGCUUCAGGGUGGAAUUUGGCUUCGGAGCAGCAAAAAUAGAGAUGCAGGGCUUUUCAGAGAAAGUUGGAGAGCUGCGCUGGGUUUGAGUUUUGGUUCUUGGGAGAGUUGAUGCUCGUUCUCCGUGAGUUCUCUGUGAUGGCUGAAAUGAUUUACCCCAGGAAGGCUGACCCGACGUCUUUGAAGAGGAAAUAGGAACAAACGAUCUGAAGCCAAAA